AGUAACGGCGAGUGAAGCGGCAUCAGCUCAAAUUUGAAAUCUGGCUCUUUCAGAGUCCGAGUUGUAAUUUGCAGAGGGCGCUUUGGUGUCGGCAGCGGUCCAAGUUCCUUGGAACAGGACGUCACAGAGGGUGAGAAUCCCGUACGUGGUCGCUGACCUACACCGUGUAAAGCCCCUUCGACGAGUCGAGUUGUUUGGGAAUGCAGCUCUAAAUGGGAGGUAAAUUUCUUCUAAAGCUAAAUACUGGCCAGAGACCGAUAGCGCACAAGUAGAGUGAUCGAAAGAUGAAAAGCACUUUGGAAAGAGAGUCAAACAGCACGUGAAAUUGUUGAAAGGGAAGCGCUUGCAGCCAGACUUGCUUGUAGUUGCUCAUCCGGGCUUUUGCCCGGUGCACUCUUCUGCGAGCAGGCCAGCAUCAGUUUGGACGGUUGGAUAAAGGCCUCUGUCACGUACCUUCUCUCGGGAAGGCCUUAUAGGGGAGGCGUCAUGCAACCAGUCUGGACUGAGGUCCGCGCAUCUGCUAGGAUGCUGGCGUAAUGGCUGUAAGCGGCCCGUCUUGAAACACGGACCAAGGAGUCUAACAUCUAUGCGAGUGUUUGGGUGUCAAGCCCGAGCGCGUAAUGAAAGUGAACGGAGGUGGGAUCCCGCAAGGGUGCACCAUCGACCGAUCCUGAUGUCUUCGGAUGGAUUUGAGUAAGAGCAUGGCUGUUGGGACCCGAAAGAUGGUGAACUAUGCUUGAAUAGGGUGAAGCCAGAGGAAACUCUGGUGGAGGCUCGCAGCGGUUCUGACGUGCAAAUCGAUCGUC
rnacentral:rRNA from 1 species